GCGCAGCAGGCGAGAAACCUCCGCAAUACACGAAAGUGUGACGGGCCAUCCCGAGUGCCGUCCGCUGAGGACGGCUUUUCCCCAGUGUACAUAGCUGGGGGAAUAAGGAGAGGGCAAGCCUGGUGUCAGCCGCCGCGGUAAUACCAGCUCUCCGAGUGGUGGGGACGCUUAUUGGGCCUAAAGCAUCCGUAGCCGGCUGGGCAAGUCCUCCGUUAAAUCCAACGAUUCAAUCGUUGGGCUGCGGGGGACACUGUCCAGCUUGGGGGCGGGAGAGGCCGACGGUAUUCCCCGGGGUAGGGUGAAAUCCUAUAAUCCCGGGAGGACCACCAAUGGCGAAGGCUGUCGGCUAGAACGCGCCCGACGGUGAGGGAUGAAAGCUGGGGGAGCGAACCGGAUUAGAUA
rnacentral:rRNA from 1 species